rnacentral:rRNA from 1 species
UACGUAGGUGGCAAGCGUUAUCCGGAUUUAUUGGGCGUAAAGGGAACGCAGGCGGUCUUUUAAGUCCGAUGUGAAAGCCUUCGGCUUAACCGGAGUAGUGCAUUGGAAACUGGGAGACUUGAGUGCAGAAGAGGAGAGUGGAACUCCAUGUGUAGCGGUGAAAUGCGUAGAUACAUGGAAGAACACCAGUGGCGAAAGCGGCUCUCUGGUCUGUAACUGACGCUGAGGUUCGAAAGCGUGGGUAGCAAACAGG